AGGGCACCACCAGGAGUGGAGCCUGCGGCUUAAUUUGACUCAACACGGGGAAACUCACCAGGUCCAGACUUCUGUAGGAUUGACGCAUUGGCGAUGCUUCAUGAUUAGAAGGGUGGUGGUGCAUGGCCGUUCUUAGUUCGUGACGUAAGUUGUCUGCUUUAUUGCGAUAACGAGCGAGACCUCGGCCGCUAGUUGCCAGAGCCCACACUUUGUGGGUUUCUGGCUCUUAGCGGGACUACCGGAGACAAUUCGGGGGAGGUUCGAGGCA
rnacentral:rRNA from 1 species